UACGGGGGAGCAAGCGUUGUUCGGAUUUACUGGGCGUAAAGGGCGCGUAGGCGGCCAGCACAAGUCAGUUGUGAAAUCUCCCGGGCUUAACUCGGAAAGGUCAACUGAUACUGUGCGGCUAGAGUGCAGAAGGGGCAACUGGAAUUCUCGGUGUAGCGGAUGAAUGCGUAGAUAUCGAGAGGAACACCUGCGGCGAAGGCGGGUUGCUGGCUGACACUGACGCUGAUGCGCGAA
rnacentral:rRNA from 1 species